rnacentral:rRNA from 1 species
UACAGAGGUGGUAAGCGUUGUUCGGAAUUACUGGGCGUAAAGGGCUCGUAGGCGGCCAACUAAGUCAUACGUGAAAUCCCUCAGCUUAACUGGGGAACUGCGUGUGAUACUGGAUGGCUUGGAUUUGGGAGAGGGAUGCGGAAUUCCAGGCGUAGCGGUGAAAUGCGUAGAUAUCUGGAGGAACACCGGUGGCGAAGGCGGCAUCCUGGACCAAUAUUGACGCUGAGGAGCGAAAGCCAGGGGAGCAAACGGG